AUUGAACGCUGGCGGCAGGCCUAACACAUGCAAGUCGAGCGGAUGAAGGGAGCUUGCUCCUGGAUUCAGCGGCGGACGGGUGAGUAAUGCCUAGGAAUCUGCCUGGUAGUGGGGGAUAACGUCCGGAAACGGGCGCUAAUACCGCAUACGUCCUGAGGGAGAAAGUGGGGGAUCUUCGGACCUCACGCUAUCAGAUGAGCCUAGGUCGGAUUAGCUAGUUGGUGGGGUAAAGGCCUACCAAGGCGACGAUCCGUAACUGGUCUGAGAGGAUGAUCAGUCACACUGGAACUGAGACACGGUCCAGACUCCUACGGGAGGCAGCAGUGGGGAAUAUUGGACAAUAGGCGAAAGCCUGAUCCAGCCAUGCCGCGUGUGUGAAGAAGGUCUUCGGAUUGUAAAGCACUUUAAGUUGGGAGGAAGGGCAGUAAGUUAAUACCUUGCUGUUUUGACGUUACCAACAGAAUAAGCACCGGCUAACUUCGUGC
rnacentral:rRNA from 1 species